rnacentral:rRNA from 1 species
UUCAUGGGACGCGGAGGGACAUUACAGAGUUGCAAAACUCCCACAAACCAUCGCGAAUCUUACCCGUACGGUUGCCUCGGCGCUGGCGGUCCGGAAGGCCCUCGGGCCCCCGGAUCCUCGGGUCUCCCGCUCGCGGGAGGCUGCCCGCCGGAGUGCCGAAACCAAACUCUUGAUAUUUUAUGUCUCUCUGAGUAAACUUUUAAAUAAGUCAAAACUUUCAACAACGGAUCUCUUGGUUCUGGCAUCGAUGAAGAACGCAGCGAAAUGCGAUAAGUAAUGUGAAUUGCAGAAUUCAGUGAAUCAUCGAAUCUUUGAACGCACAUUGCGCUCGCCAGUAUUCUGGCGAGCAUGCCUGUUCGAGCGUCAUUUCAACCAUCAAGCUCUGCUUGCGUUGGGGAUCCGCGGCUGCCCGCGGUCCCUCAAAAACAGUGGCGGGCUCGCUAGUCACACCGAGCGUAGUAACUCUACAUCGUUCUGGUCGUGCGGCGGGUUCUUGCCGUAAAACCCCCCAAUUUCUAAGGUUGACCUCGGAUCAGGUAGGAAUACCCGCUGAACUUAAGCAUAUCAUAAGCCGGGGAGGAA